UAAGCUUUCAUUCUUUAAUACUUCAUGGAUGUUAGCUGUUAGCUUCACGGAGGGCUGGUUCUUCUUCUUCAGUAGGACUGGAACCGAUGAAGGGCAGUCAACAGCGACACUGCCAUCUGCUGUAGAUGCUGUAUUUUACUUCUUUGGAAAUCUCCUCCAUCUGCAUCGCAAUGGCUUAAUACUGUCCGGACAUUUUUGAGGGUGGAGAAGAUCUCACUCACAGUGAAAGGACCAAUUUGCUUUUGGAGACUCUACCACGGGGCAACAAAAGUCCCUGAACAACAUAGUCCCUUGGAUCACUAGGACACACAAACCCCUCCACCAUGACAAGGUGCCGAUAUAUAGAGGGACUAUGACAGUAGUAUGGUUCAGUUUUUUAAAAUGUUUUCAUUGUAGUAAAACAAGUUUCUAUGAGCAUUAGGGAUGCUCACAGCAACAUUAGUCACUUCAAUCGCAUCUCUGCCAGUUUAGGACAUCAGCUGCUGUCAAUCUGCACAAUCAGAAGAUUACUCUCACCUGCUGCCCACCUGUUCACUAUCCUGACCUGCUCCGCUCGGAAGGACGCUUCCCUCUCGGCUCACCGACACCCUGGACCAUCUCUGGCUUGCCCCGCAGUGCUGCUCACCCUUGUCUCAAGUAAGCCACCCACACAUUCCCCAGUACAGUCACGUCCCAUCCCUGGCAGCGCAUAUCACUAACUCCUCUCUCUCUCUGAUUUCAUACCCACCUCUCUGUAAAACUUUCCUGUGCACUUUCACGUUUCACUUGUAAAUAAAUUCAUUUUUGCAUCGAACCAUCCCGAGUUCAGUGUCUGCUUUUAGGUUUAUUCCUGUGCCGCCGGUGACGUAGCCCUGCCUCCCAGGACAUGAAUCAGGCAUGGAGGAGAUCCAGGCCCCAGAAAUCUAGAGGCCCCCCAGAGCACGAGAGCCCAUGGAGGACCACCAGAGGGGCAGUUGCGCCACCAGUAGCCACGGUGCAGAAGCCACAGGGGGCCAUGGUGACAACCCCCGCAGGCUUUGCUGAGAACUGGUAAUGUCAGAACGAUCACCGGGCCCAGAGACCUCAGAGCCAAGGGCUCUCCACACCCCAGAUGGGGCCCGACCGAGCCACGGGCUCCAGGCCCUGCCAAGGAUCCGCCGGGAGUGAGCCACUACAUACCUGAGCACCUAGCCCUGGACACCAAGAACCACCAAUGCACCAACGGGUGGGGGCAUCAGCCACCAGCGGGGAGUGUGGUCGGGGGAAAUAGGCCCCCACACCUGGAGGGGCUUGAGAUGUUCCCAGAGAGGUGGGGUCUAUGAUGGGUCAUGACACAUGGACAUAGACAAACAGGCCCACACAGACACAAACAGGCAUUCCCACCCUCGUACACACAUAUACAAAUACUCAGCACUCGCACAACAUGGAGACACACAGAACUGAAUGCAGUACACACUCACACUCCCCAAAUGGGUCCAGGCACCAGCACCCCCAUAGGGGAUGCCCACCAGCUCGGACCCAGACCAGAUGGCCAGCUCCUCCUCCCGGCCCCCGUCCCGGAUGGUGACGAGGGUGUGAAGACCCCAUACCUCACGCCGCCUGCUCAUAUGGGGUGUUGCUGUGUGCUGCUCUAAAGUGCAUUUAAAACAUGGCAGGGGCAUGGUGCCAGCGACCCUCUGCCAGAUAGCAGCUGGUGUUAGCACGGCCCCUCCCGAGAACCCUCAAUGUCUACAUGUGUUUAAUAUUGAGAGGUGGGCACCGGCGCCAGAAGUGAGGCUGAAUGAACAGACUGUCCUCUGAACGCCGUUUAAUGUGCCCACCCCCAAGGCCCUAUAUGUAUGUGUUAUGAGAGUGUGAGUAAUGUGAGUGACUAAUUUGUGGAAUAAAACUAAGGCACAGGUGGCCAGAGGGAGACACAGGAGGACUGCCUCACCUGCACCUCAGUGACACACCUGUACCUUAAGACCCUGCAUGUGUGAUGGGGAGGGAAGGAUGGGGAAGGACCCCAAUCAGACCAGGAGUGACAUGUUUAGCCGCAUGUUCUCCUUAAAUUGCUGGCUGUCUGAGUGGUGUCCAAAAAACGAUGUGGGCUUCAUA